UAUUAAAUAAUAUAAAUUUCAUUAUAAAUAUGAUUAACAUUAUGUUUUUUAUUUAACGUAAAAAUGAUAUAAAUUCGCGAUUUUUUAAUCAAUAAUUGCGCAAGCGCAAAGUAUCUAUCAGACAUGAAUCUUGCUUCUCAGUCAAUUCGCGACAAUCGUGAUGCGAGAUUCGCGAUACAGAUGGCGAUGUUGCGCUUGCUAAACAAGUUUGCCACGCGUGCCGGCGAAAUAGUGGAAAUCGUCGUCUCGUUGCCGGUUCGUGUUCGUCAGUUUCCCCUUCGUGCACAUAUAUGUCUGUGAAUUGUGGUAUGCGCUGGACAUGCAGCCCAUAUACAUGUACACGUGCCCCGGGGGGUAGGGUUUCUAGAUCCCUUGUUCUUUCCGUCGCGAAAAGAAGGGCUUUUUGCAAUCGACUGCCAGUCUGUGUGCCUCGAAUUCGUGAAGGAGACACGGUUCGAGUAUGUGAAUUUGACGAUACGUGGACAAAUAGUGUAACUUCCGUUGUAAAGGAUUUCUGAGUUACAUGUUCUUUAUUUUACGUGAAUUCCUGCGAAAAAACUUGCUUAUUCGCGAGUGAUAUUAAUACAUCUGAUGCAAAUUGUUCAUUAGAUUGUUGAAAUAGCCUGAUUGAUGUCUCGAAAUUUGGAUUCGAGAAAGAAAUUUACGAUCAGUAGUGAUGAGAACAAAGUAUUCGCGAGCAAUGGCCGAUAUUCAAGAAAUUAUUGACUGUCUAAAUCUAUACGUUAGUACAGAAAUAUAUUUCAAAUACAUAUUCGAAUUUUUGAUAUUUCUACAACAAUUGAUAAAUCCUACCUCAAAAUUCUGUAUACAUCCUCGUUAAAACUGCUAUUUUUUUCUUUUUAUUUAUUCUUUGAUUGAGGCAAUGUUUAUUUCAUUCACAAAUAAACUUAAAAUUGAAGAGUGUUCUAAAUAAAUUAUAUGAAAUUCAUGUGAAUAUUUGUGACGGGUAUGCCGAUUUGGCGGUACGUCCCUGGUCCCCGUCGUAGAGGCAGAGAGACACGACGACGACUGGCCGAAGAAACGAGAAAAGGCACCGGGUAUGCGUGAGGGCAGUGAUCUCUCAGGGAGCGGCGACCUGACGUACGAACGAACGGUGUGUGAUAGAUAUAGGAUAUAUACUUACUUCAUCAUGUUUUUUUCUCUGCUAUUUCCUAUGUCAUUGGAUUUUCUACAUACGGAUCCAUAGGAUGCAACAAUGUUCCUGUUUUAACCGCACUAUAGAGAAUCUCCAUCUCAAGAAAACUGACGGACAUUGCAAGGGCCAGCCUGCACCAUCUAUUCCAAACUUUUCUUCCCCAUACCUUGGCGCAUGGGGCGGGGCCGUUGCAGUGCAUCGAAAGAGAAAUUUUUCCGGCGGUUGUUGGCCCAGCCCCACGACGAACGAAUACUAGGGUGUUUCCCACAUGAAUGGCAGAGCAGUGGAGGCACAUUGCAAGCAAGCUGCAGCGCUGCAGUAGGCCUGUGGGCCAAGGUUUAUGGGAUCUGUGAAGAUUCAUCCCGACAGAGUAUAUUGCAUCAUGCGGGGGCCAAUGAAAUCCCCGGUGUACCGGGUAAGCAGCACCCUCUUCUCCCCGUCCCUCGAGCCCCCUAUGAAAAAGAUGAUGUGAGGGCCGACGCGUGUGGAACACCAAGUGCAGCCGGGAUCGCGGUUGAUCGUUGUCGGGGAGCAAAGGUGCAAGCUUGAUAGUCCGCUGUUUCGCUCGUUCCUCCGUUCCUCCCGUCCUCGUUCCACCGUCCAUGUCUGGGUUCGUUCGCUGGUUCAGCUGGCGUCCCACGGCACGCAGUCUGUCGCUGUCAUUGACGAAGUUCACUUCUAACGCAGUUAUUUCUUUGAAAAAACGAGUAUGUGUUCCAUUAUACGAUGUUUUUUUUAUGAUUUCUUCGUUUUUAAUUAUACUUAUGUAUCAUUUCUUUUGUGAUAUUUUGAUUUUCUCUACAAUUAAUUUGGUUAACAAAAAUAUGGUGUUCAAGGAGUGAAUUCCAAUAUGAUCAUAUAUUUCAAAGAUAUUUCCGGUAUUUGAGACAAAAAUCCAAGACAUUUGAAUAUUUAUCAUCUAAUUUGUAGGAAAAUUUAUAGAAUUAUUUCCUAGAUGCAUCUUCCUGAGACAAUUUCAGAGGACGACGAGGUUAAGAAUUUUCUUGAAUUCGAUUUUCCAUGAAAUCGGUCUCGCGAUUCGCGACUGUGAGCGGUGAUGAAAAGAUGAUAUGGAAUCUUCCAAUGAGUGACGCGGGUGUCUAGCAAAGUGGAAAAGUGUUUUCUCGUCUCUUUUUGGAUCUAGAGACCGUGGUUUUUCUUCGGUUAAUUGUGCAUUGUGACCAAUGUGUAAGUGCAGUGUAUCCAGUGUAGCAAACGUGCUAAAAAGUCACAAGUUUGGGAUACUUAUUUGGUGUAAUCGAUGGGAAUAAUUAUUGGAGAAGCGGAAUCAACGAUUUCAAGGUUUGAUGAAGGAUUAGAAAUUGCAACUCAGCUGAUAGGUUUCCCUGAAUUGAGUUGAAAUAAGCGGCGAAACGCCAGGAAGAGAAGACGGAAACGGAAACUAGUUCCGGCCAAGAUCAAUACCUAAGUUGUGCAACAGACUGUCUGGCGCAAGCCUUGUUCCUUGCUUGCGUGUUCCCCGUGCGCGGCACGCAGCGUGCAACGCCUCGUUGCAACCGGUGCAACGUGCAAUGCCACGAUUUACUCGCUCAUGGGUACACGCAUGGCUACUCUCAUCUAGCCGGCUAUUGGAUAGAUGGAGACCAAAAAGGAAACGAUUGCCAAGGAAUCUAGAGAGGGGUGCAGCUUUUCAUGUAGCGUACAUAAUUCCCCCUUGACUACUUCUGCAUCCAGAUCCUUCACCGUCUUCCAGACCUUAAGAUCCAUCCACAACGAAUGAUCUCAAUUUUCCUCUUAAAUCUUUUCUCCUAAACUUGGAACUUCGAGAUUUAAAAUUCAAAUUCACGAUGAAUUUGUUUUUAAACAAUAUUCAAGGUAAAAUUAACAUUUUUCAUUUUCUUAUGCAUGAGUAUUAGAUUAAGAGAUUUCUUUAUAAUCGAAUAUCCAAGUUACUUUGUGUUAAGUAGAAUGUGACCAGUUAAUCCGGAAUAUGUAUUAAUUUAUUGCACGUAUUUCAGGGUCCAGAUCGUAAAGCAUAAUCGGUCAGUUGGAAACAGUACCUAACAUCCCUUAGGGCCGCGUGAGGAGAAAUGCAGAGGCCAUUCAACUGUCUACGAGCGAAGCAGGCAGGGGAUUUUUACAACGCCCGACUCUCUACCUACUCUCCUGUAUUCUUCUUGCUCUUCUUCCCUCUCUUCGUCUUCUUCGUCCUUUUCUUCGUCUUGUUUCUUAUAGGAUAGCCUCGGCCUUCUUUUUCUAUGCCCUCCUGAUCUCUCUACCCGGCAACGGCGUGGCGAAUCAGGGAAUCUCAUGCGUGAGAAAUUCGAACCUAAGAACCUUCGAAAUAUAUGAAAUUUGAUAUGAAGAAUAUUGCUUCUAAAUAAUAAUUUUAGAAUA